rnacentral:rRNA from 1 species
CACGUAGGGCGCGAGCGUUGUCCGGAAUUAUUGGGCGUAAAGAGCUCGUAGGCGGCCUGUUGCGUCCGCUGUGAAAGCCCGGGGCUUAACCCCGGGUCGGCAGUGGAUACGGGCAGGCUAGAGGUAGGUAGGGGAGAAUGGAAUUCCCGGUGUAGCGGUGAAAUGCGCAGAUAUCGGAAGGAACACCGGUGGCGAAAGCGGCGCGCUGGAUCCCUACUGACGCUGAGGCACGAAAGCCAGGGGAGCAAACGGG